rnacentral:rRNA from 1 species
UGGCCCAGAUCGUUUACCGUGAAAAAAUUAGAGUGUUCAAAGCAGGCAGACCAUUUCUUCUGCCACCGAAUACAUUAGCAUGGGAUAAUGGAAUAGGACCCUGUCCUCCUAUUUUGCGUGUUGGUUUUCGAGGACCGGGUAAUGAUUAAUAGGGAUAGUUGGGGGCAUUAAUAUUUAAUUGUCAGAGGUGAAAUUCUUGGAUUUAUGAAAGAUUGACUUCUGCGAAAGCAUCUGCCAAGGAUGUUUUCAUUAAUCAAGAACGAAAGUUAGGGGAUCGAAGACGAUCAGAUACCGUCGUAGUCUUAACCAUAAACGAUGCCGACCAGCGAUUAGGAGACGUUGAAUACAAAACACCACCGUCGGGUCGGCCGUCCUUGGCCGUCGUGCGCGGCGACGCGCGCGGCGGCGAGGGCGGUGUCUG